rfam:TPA: Bos taurus chromosome 6, whole genome shotgun sequence.
UCCCUGGUGGCUGAGACGGAAAAGCAUCUGCCUACAAUGCAGGAGGCCUGGGUUCGAUCCCUGGGUUGGGAA